CCUGCCGUCGCUCGCCGCCUCUUUGUCUGCUCCGGGACUGGGAACAAAGGGGGGAACUCUGAUGAACUCUCCUCCCCUCGCCCGGACGCCCGGGUAUCUCCCUCUAGCAACUUUGCAGCCUCGACUUUCUGCGCUGUCAGGCCACACAAAAAAGUGUCCGCGCGCCUCGCGGACUGCAACAGGAGAACGUCUCUGAAAAGUGUGACCAAGUGGGAAGAAGGUGUAAUUAUUAUUAUCAGCAUCCAGAAAGCAUCAAGCAGUGCAUUGUUCUUACGGGAUCUUUCUAUCAGUGAACAUUAUGGAUGUGCCAAUACAAUAUCAUGUCAUUCCUGGAUGAAAAGUUAUCGAACUUCUUCGUUUGGAGUUACAUAAAAGUUAAAAUGUUGGGAUUUUUGAUGAUGCCCUCCCUAUGUGGAUUAACUACAGUUUGAUCACUGGGAAUUCUCCACCUUAAGGAAGUACUCUCAGGACACUACGGAAGCGUUAACACCCAGCAUGUUCAGCUCAGGUGUGAAUCAUGGUGACACAGCGAGAGCCGGUGAUUUACUGCUUUGGGGGUCAUGCGUGUGGAUGAUUAAGGGAUGUAAGUGCAGGACUCCAGGAUUUACUUCCUGCCUGUUCCAGCGGGGAUAGCCGAGGAGAGUGAGUAAUGGGAUAAUUUAUAACACCACAGGCCCUUCAUCAAGAGACCUCUAGUCAAAACAGGAAGAUAAAACUCAGAUUUCAACUGGGAGAAUGCAACUUUGGUCCUCUGGUCACACUUCUUUGCAAGCAGUAGAGUCUUCAGAUUUUUUGUUUCACUUUUUCAAGAAGAUUUCCAUGACAAAGGGCAUCCGUGGUAUCCUCCCCAAACAUGCUGCUCAACUGCCUGUGAUCCAUGGAAAGCUGUUCCCUGUUGUCCAUCCCACCAGGCGCCCUCAAAACUAACAGACAGAAAAGGGAAAUGGC